AUGGCUGCACAGCAAGGCAAUAGCAUUUCAACCCAAAAGUGCAUCUUUGGAACACCUGAGUUGAAAAGCCUGUGCUUGGCAUCUGCCUAUAAACAAGACUGCUUCUAUUUCUUUCACAAGUCUAUGUGUUUGCAGAAGGACUUUUGUUUUUCUGUGUCUGUGUGACUGAAGGAGAAAAGGGCAACUGGAGUAAAAGUGUUCGCUGGGACUGGUUGAAGUGCACACAGGUGAUGGUUCUGUACUGGGGCCUGCAUGGCCAGGAGUUUUGGGGUUGGCUGUGGAGCUGGACACAUAUGUGGGAGAUGUCAUCUAUAAAACCUUAGACUGGCUUUUGCAUGUGGAAUUGUUUGUUGUUGUUGUUUAGAAGUUGUUCAUUGUAGAAUUGCACUGGCUGGUUUUUUGUGUGUUCCAAUUGAAUGUUUGAUUGUCAUAAGCAUUAUCUCUAUUUUUGUAGUCCCUUACUCAUUUGUUUGUUGCUAUUGAUGCAUUGUUUGUAAGUUUAAUAAUCCCUUUUAAGUUUGUUACUUUCGAGGUUUUCAAAGCAAAUCCCCUCACCAGCAGCAUCUUACAAAGAAUUUUUAACCUGCCCCAGAAGACUUGUAACUUGACACCACAGCAAUGGUGCAUACUAAUGAGGAACUUUCCCUCCAAAACCUCAGUUACCCCAAGGACAGCAAACUGUUGGAGGAGAAGAUGUUCCCAGCACCAAUCAACAAUAACUAUAGGGGUGGGACUGCCAGCAACAAGCUGAGGGGACAGAGAUUAUAAAAGGAGCUGUGAAGUUUGAAGAACUGCCCUUUAACUGUGGAUUAGCAGCUGAGGACCCGACACUGCAGACUUUGGUCUACAUCUCUUUUAGAGACUUUUUUAUAUAAAUUUGAGUGCAGAUUAGCUGCAUUCACUGCAGUGCCACUGA
rnacentral:lncRNA from 1 species